rnacentral:rRNA from 1 species
AUGGAGCAAUGGCAACAGGUGGUUGAUGCUGCUAAAGAAAGUUGUAUAUCCGAUGAAUCAGAUGGCAUUAAGUGGGGCCUGGGUCAUAAAAAGGUAUUUACGACCAAAUCGGUCUAUUCUUUCUUGGAAAGAAACAUCACAGGGUGUAAUUUUGCGUGGGUUUAGAGAGCUGGCAUCCCUUUAAAAAUCAAAAUCUUUAUGUGGCAGCUGUUCCAGGAUGCUAUCCUUACUCGGGAUGUGAUGAAAAAAAGGGGGUGGAAAGAAAACCCGAAGUGUUCUUUCUGUGGGGAGAAUGAGACUUCCCAACAUCUCUUCUUUGCCUGCCCUGUAGCUAAGGUGACUUGGAGAAGUGUUGCCUGCAUGCUCGUCACUGAUCUGUGCCCGAACAGCCUGUGGCAGGCUUACUCCUGGUGUUAUGUUUACUUCCCAAAUGGGGAGAUUUACUACAUAGUUGGCAUUGCUGCGCUUUGCUGGGCUAUUUGGACAUGUCGCAAUGGUGUUACGUUCGAGUCUAAACGUUUGAAAACACAUUUUGAAUGCUGCUUCUCCGUGUGUGCUUUUCUUGGUUAUUGGGCAGGACUGCUGAAGCAAGAGGAUGCGGCUGAUCUGCGAACAGGAGUGGACAUGCUGAAGAACAGUGCGGCGAGGCUGAUGCGUAUCUGCGCUGCGAACAAAGACUGA